CUUUCCCAGCCACCACCAGGGGACAGCUGGGGUGCACAGGCACAGAGAAUGCAAACAGCAGACCAGAAACCUGCCCAAGAUCACACUGCGCCCAGCCACCAAGGGGACUUGCGGACAGAGCUAAAAACAGAUUCCGCCACUGAGGGCCUGGCGUCUCCAGGAAUGGCCGCGUGCUCUGCCCGGCAGUUUCCCCGUUCAUAAGACCAGAGGAACCGAGCCUGCUGCUGCCCCUGCCGUUCAGGACCCACAGCACCCAGCGGGGGGCUGCCUUUUCCUCCCUGAGG